GUUUGUUAAAAGACUUCGAUCCGCUCACAGCCAUGCAGAUUAAGACGAAUUUAGAUCGACAUUAUUUUGAUAACAAUGAAAACUCAAAUGCUUGAAACGAAAUGAGUGGAGUUGAACGACGCCUGUUUAUCGAAACUACAUCAAUCAACUUUUCAACUAUGCAGGUGAUCGAUCUGGAGAGAUGAAAACAGUCUUAUGAUCUUCACACAGUCUCAGCUUUUUGGCAUUUACUAAUAUCUGAUGAACGGAUUUCAAAAUGUACAAGGCAUCAUAUCAAAGAUUGCAUAUGCCCGAAAGAAGGACAAAUCCAAUUUGGCUCUCUGGAUGUAUGGAAAGCUCUCAACCUUCCAGAAAAGGACUGUUCAAAGGAACACUUAAAUCCCUCCGACAGACAAAGAUAACCUCUCUAGGCCCUCUGGUGGUGACGUAUAAGUGCUUUCUCAGUACUUUCUCUCGCUUUUGGACAAAUCCAAGUGCUGUAUCUGUACCCGAAUAGAAAUAAAGGAUUUUAAUGACACAGUUUUCUUCCGCUCUGAAAGUGAACGAAUUACAAAACAGUCUAGAGAAUUCCUCGCCCUGCUGCAGAAGAUCAAUCCUGGGUUGUGCUCACCAAAGCAAACCUCUUUAUUUGUGUAUUCAGUGUCUUAACUAUGUAAAAGACAACUAUAACAGGGUGUACAGUGCUGUUUCUGAAAUUGACGAAUCCUCUUGUGAUGAAGAUUGAAGAAGCUAUUGCCAUCCAAGUGGAAAAAGUCCCGCCU